UGUUUGGGGAGGGGAGUGGUCAGCAGCCAGAGAGACCUCACAAAGAUCUGCCAGCAAGGUAGACGAAGAGGGAUUGGAGCUUGCGGUUUGUCGGCACGGAGUGCUGCUCUGUGCUUUAAAUAUGUACAGGGGUGAAAUUUUUGCCUAUCCCCCCUACCUUCAAGAAAAGCUGGCCAGUAGGCAAGUCACUUUUUUUGUAUGGAUGUGACCUGCAAAUAUUGGCCCUACCUGCAAAGAGCUGCAAAAAGCUGUCCAGAGCUCCAGCACCUUCUUAACAUGAAGCCAUUCCUUUCAGUAUUUCGUGCCAAAGCCCAUGAUUUUAAAUGUGAGGUGAAAUGGAAUGGGGCAUAUCAGGAUAGGGCUGGAUUAACGCUAGGGGAGGAGGUGGAACAGUGCAAUGCCUUCCUCUCUAGGAUUGCAGUGACGACAAAACACAUGUCAAAAGCAGAUAAGAUGACCACAUACUGCUCUAGUUACAUAAUCACGUAAUAACAUCAUAUUUUAUACAUCAUAUGGUAACAUCAUAUAUUCUGUGUUUGCAGGACGCACAGACAUGCUGACUCUCAUGGCCAUGCGCUGGAAUCAGCAAAAGUUCAACAAUUUGGCAAUUUCACUGACUCGCCGAUGUCAGAAAGUAAUGACAUCAGUAGAAUUUGUUUUAGAUGCAGCAACAGUAACAACAACCACAAAUGAUGCUGAUGCCUUGGCCAGCAGAAUUGAGGUCCUGGUAGCGAGUAUCAAGAGAUGUUCCCAGCGUCUCUAUAAAGAUACCGAUGAGAACAAAGGUCAUGCCAGAAUCCGCAGCAAGAUCAGGGAGGAGAAGGAGAUCCUGACAUCUGUUGUGGAGAAAUACAACAGAAUGGUUCCAAGCACAGAAUGUCUUUGCUUGGAAACCAUUCUGUCUGGUGAGACAGCUUGGCCAUGGCAGCUACCACACACUGACUCUGUCGAUCUAAGGACAAAGAGAAGAGUGUUUGACAUCAUCAUGUCAGUAAGGAGACUUGAGGAGGAGCAGAAGAUUCUUGUUGCAGAGAUGGACCACCACUGGAAAUCUCUUUCAACUCGUGCUGAUACCCUCAGAGAGCUGUCCCGCAUGUUUGCCAGUGAGACAAUGAGAAAUUCACCUUGUGGCCUAAGUGAAGAGGGUUUGAAAGUUCUACAGAGCAACAUCCUCAGAAAGCAACAUAAAGUCAGAGAAAUGAAGGUGCAAGCAAGAGACUGUUAUCUGCAAGUUUUGUCUGGAGAAGGGAACAUCAACUUUUUGUACAGUGCUUCAGCUGAUGAGUACGACAGUGACUGUGAAAUGUCUGAUGACGGACUGUAAUCCACAAGACUGUGACACCUUUCAUCGUUCUGGACAAUGACCUUAACUCUGGAUACAAAGAAUGUAAUAAAAUCUGCUUUUCAUCACCUUUAUAAAUGGAACCAAAAGUGAACCUCUUCUUUCACAUACAUAGAAAUGUGUGCAUGCAUGCCUCUAGAACCAGUCUGUGGUGGAAAUUAAGUGCAUUCAUUAAAGUAUUGUAUGGUACUUAGAGAUUUUAGGUAUGAUUUGUUUCUUCUCAUCCAAAUUUUUACUUAUACUCCACUGCAAUUCAGAGAGAAAAAAAUGCAUUUGACAGCACAUGGAGAGCUUAUAAAAUGACAUUUUGUUGCAAAAGUAACCUCUCAACAGUACAAUUAGUUGAUUGGCAGAAAAUGAAUUGCCAAAUAAUUUUCAUGCGAAAACAUUUAAUGGUUCCAGCAUGUAUUUUUUAUAUAUAUAAUUUUUGAGGUUUGAAUUGUUCACAGCUUUUAUCAAUGUAUCUUUUUGGGUCGUGUGUAAUUGUGUCUGCAUUUCUCACUAUUUUCAUACUUUCUUACAAACCAAACAAUCUCUUCAUUUGUUGAGAAAUAAAUAGCAGAUUAAUUUAUUAUGAAAAUAGUCAUUAGUCUAGGUUGUGUACAAAAUAAUUAAUAAUAAUCUUGCAUGAGUAAUAAUAAUCUAAGGUUAUAUGAUUCACAGGGGAAAAUGAAAUGUUAGAACUUCAGCUGGUGGCUGUGAAAGUGUAGAGUGUACUUUAACUGUAGGGUGUUAUAUAACAACUGAAACCUGUUUAGAGACAGAAGAAGCAAAUUAUGAGGAAGAAAACCAUUAUGAUAAGGAGGAAUUAUUAUUUCCCAAUAUGAUAUUACAUCUGCUUAUGUGUCAUCUAGUAAAAGUAUUGGAGUCAACUGAUUUGAUUCUGUGGUGCUCAAAAUAUUUCACCGCUUGUGUAGCUUCAUCAGCUGUGACCUGAUAAACAGCAUGAUGAUAGCAAUUUUGAAGUCCCUUUUUAUUUCUAUUGAAUCCCUUUUGUCUUUAUACUAUUUUAUAAAGUAUCUUUAUACUAUUUUGUAGUCUACAAUAAAA